CCUACGGGAGGCAGCAGUGGGGAAUAUUGCGCAAUGGGGGAAACCCUGACGCAGCAACGCCGCGUGAGUGAAGACGUAUCUCGGUAUGUAAAGCUCUAUCAGCGGGGAAGAAGGAAGACGGUACCCGACUAAGAAGCCCCGGCUAACUACGUGCCAGCAGCCGCGGUAAUACGUAGGGGGCAAGCGUUAUCCGGAUUUACUGGGUGUAAAGGGAGCGUAGACGGAAAGGCAAGUCAGAAGUGAAAGCCCAAGGCUCAACCAUGGGACUGCUUUUGAAACUGUCAAACUAGAGUACGGGAGAGGUAAGAGGAAUUCCUAGUGUAGCGGUGAAAUGCGUAGAUAUUAGGAGGAACACCAGUGGCGAAGGCGUCUUACUGGACCGAAACUGACGUUGAGGCUCGAAAGCGUGGGGAGCAAACAGGAUUAGAUACCCGUGUAGUC
rnacentral:rRNA from 1 species